GUGUGGGGUGAUGAGAAGCUGGAAGUGAAAGUUGUGGCUGGGAAGGCGAGAUUGAGGGAGGGAAGUUGAAAGAGGGCUGUUUGUUUAGAAUGACAGCCAGCAGAGCACGUGUCCAUGCACAGGGCAAGGAUCCAGUCGUGAGGGAGGGGGUUGCAGCUCAGGCCAGUGAAUCCCUCUCUUUGUGCUCGUGCAGCUCACACCCACACCACAGUUUUGCCUUCCUAGGUGCCAGUUACCCGUGCUCAACAACAGAAGGACGAGUAGGGUACAAUAAGAUAUUGGGGAAGGGGAUGACUAUCACUCAUAACUUCCGGCAUAGCAUUUUAUUAUUUCUUUUAUAAUUGUUACUGCUUUUCAUGUCUCUCUCUCUCUCUCUCCCUCCCCCCUCCCUCUCUUUUGAGACAAAGUCUUAUUAUGUAGCCCCAGGCUGGCCUUGAACUCACAGCCAUCCUCCUGCUUCAGCCUCCUGAGUGCUGGGAUGAGAGGUCCGGCGCCCACUGGGAGCCUUGGAACUUAUGCCCCUCCGAUAUCAGGGGACAACUGUAUCUCCUAAUCAAGAAGGUAAGAAGAGACCACAAGUCUGAUGGAUGAAGGAUUCUAGUUAGCAAGACAGACUCCAUAUUGCUGCUGAAUGACCCACCUGCCUGUCCCUUUAGAUGAACUCAAAAGGAGGAAGCUUAGAAACCUCCUCCCCUUAGAGAGUCUCUUAGAAACAAAAAUUAAUCAACUAUUGUUUUACAAAUGUUAUAACGAC
rnacentral:lncRNA from 1 species